UGUCUAGGCAUUUCUCUUACAUUUAAGCAGUCUGGAGAGGAAAAGCAAAACAGACUCCAGCUAAGGGAAAAUAAGAGCUGUUGUGAAAGAAUCAAAGCUCUCUCUGCGAAGCACAUGACUUUGAAACUCAACAACAAAUAUCCACACUAGACCAAUGUGUGCUUUCGGUUCUCUAACAAGGUCACGUAAUAGAAUGAAGUUGAGUAGAAACUCAAGAAACAAUGGUCUAGUCGCUGACGAGGGCUAAAUGUGAACCUUCACUGAACUGACCCUCCACUACUCUCUCCACAUCUCCCCUCACUGUUUAAUCCCAAUAAGAUUUCAAAUAUGGUAGGCAGUUGUCUAUUCACAGAACUUCCCCCUUGAUAUUGGGUUUUCUUUUUUAGAAUCUAUUGGCCAGUUACUGAAAUUGAUGGAUUGACAUGGCAAUAAAAGUACAAGAGGAAACAGGCGUUGGCGAUCUCUCGUCAAAGAUAGUUGUUUCAUAAACAAUGUCUGUAAGCUUACUCAAUCCCUGACUGAUUGAUUCAACAAGUGACAUAUCGGAAUGCUUGGUCCAAGGACUCCAGAUGCCAUUUGAGAGAUAAAUGAUACCCCCGACUCCAGAAGAAUCAAUAAUUUCAUGUGUUUGAACAUUUAACUUUGGGACCUCUUUGUUUAUUCUGACCUUCAUAGGAACAAGUUGACAUACGGAUGCUUGAUCAGUCUGUCUCCAGCGGCCUUGUCUGAGCCUGACCACGAGUAAGCAUGCCAGAGAAGUUGACUGAAUGCAUUCUGAAUUGGAGUUCUGUUAGAAAGGUUCCUGAGGCUCUAUGAAGACCCUGUGGGGGAAGAGUGCAGAAGCCACCGUCCCAUACCUGCCAUCUAAUGUGAUGCUGUUAAUGAAGAGGAAUAGACAGAGGAGGAGAAACAUCUAUGCUCACGUUUAUAUUGAACAUAAGAAUCUCAGAAUCUCUGCACUAGAUUUGAAUAGCUCAUCUGACCCACCAAGUUGUCAUAAGUUUGCUCCUGACAGUGACUAAAGUCAUUCUGCUUUGUAAUACUCUAGAGCUGUUAAUGACCCAAAGUCAUUGUUUUGGACUAUGUAUUCCUACCCUUUAAUGGUUUUGUUUAUUCUUGUUGGUUUUAAUUAAAUAAAGAAAAAUUUAUCCCAAA